rnacentral:rRNA from 1 species
AAGACGGUCUUGCUGUCACUUAUAGAUGGAUCCGCGCUGCAUUAGCUAGUUGGUAAGGUAACGGCUUACCAAGGCAACGAUGCAUAGCCGACCUGAGAGGGUGAUCGGCCACACUGGAACUGAGACACGGUCCAGACUCCUACGGGAGGCAGCAGUAGGGAAUCUUCCGCAAUGGGCGAAAGCCUGACGGAGCAACGCCGCGUGAGUGAUGAAGGUCUUCGGAUCGUAAAACUCUGUUAUUAGGGAAGAACAUAUGUGUAAGUAACUGUGCACAUCUUGACGGUACCUAAUCAGAAAGCCACGGCUAACUACGUGCCAGCAGCCGCGGUAAUACGUAGGUGGCAAGCGUUAUCCGGAAUUAUUGGGCGUAAAGCGCGCGUAGGCGGUUUUUUAAGUCUGAUGUGAAAGCCCACGGCUCAACCGUGGAGGGUCAUUGGAAACUGGAAAACUUGAGUGCAGAAGAGGAAAGUGGAAUUCCAUGUGUAGCGGUGAAAUGCGCAGAGAUAUGGAGGAACACCAGUGGCGAAGGCGACUUUCUGGUCUGUAACUGACGCUGAUGUGCGAAAGCGUGGGGAUCAAACAGGAUUAGAUACCCUGGUAGUCCACGCCGUAAACGAUGAGU